GAUGAACGCUAGCGGGAGGCCUAACACAUGCAAGCCGAGCGGUAGAGUUUCUUCGGAAACUUGAGAGCGGCGCACGGGUGCGUAACACGUGUGCAACCUACCUUUAUCUGGGGGAUAGCCUUUCGAAAGGAAGAUUAAUACCCCAUAAUAUAAUGAUUGGCAUCAAUUAUUAUUGAAAACUCCGGUGGAUAGAGAUGGGCACGCGCAAGAUUAGAUAGUUGGUGAGGUAACGGCUCACCAAGUCAAUGAUCUUUAGGGGUCCUGAGAGGGAGAUCCCCCACACUGGUACUGAGACACGGACCAGACUCCUACGGGAGGCAGCAGUGAGGAAUAUUGAACAAUGGGUGAGAGCCUGAUCCAGCCAUCCCGCGUGAAGGAUGACGGCCCUAUGGAUUGUAAACUUCUUUUGUACAGGGAUAAACCUACCCUCGUGAGGGUAGCUGAAGGUACUGUACGAAUAAGCACCGGCUAACUCCGUG
rnacentral:rRNA from 1 species